UAUAGCUGUCCUAUUUUAAAUGGCAACCAGAAUGAUGCCUUGGUAAAUAUGAAAGCAGUAAAUAAAUGAAAUCGUUUAGAAGUCAAAACAGAUAAAUGAAAGGCUUUAAACGAAAACAGAAAAAUGAAAUGCUAACCCUAGAAACCCUUUUUCUUUUUGCUAUACCCAUGAGUUCUUAGUGCAUCAGUUGCUAUGGAGACUCUUCCUCUGUGACCUGUUCAGCAUAUAACUUUUCAAACACCAGCUUCCGUUGAUUUCACGAGUUCAUCUAAUCAUUCUGUCAUUUCCAGAUCUGGACUUGUCAUUAUCACCUCUUCUAUCAUUGUUGCGAUUUCUGUGACGACUCACCAGUUCCUCCAUCUCACUGGGUACCUCUUCCAUCCAGUACUGUGGACCAUCGUACUUCCAUCCCUCAUUCGCCAGUCCGUGCCCUACUUUAUUGGCUUCUCAUUGUACGUGAUUAAACCAUUUAUUUUUCUAAUAACUAUCAAUGCGUCUCCCUCAACAUCUACAUCUUGGAAGCCUAUUUCCUCCACCAUGAUGACUAUCUAUAAACAUGCUCUAGCCUCAGUCGUAGUCGGAUUUAAGCUAUUUUUUCCUGGGUAAGUGCACGAUGCCAUAAAUAACCAUAUUUGUUUCUCGCAAUGAUUCCUGACACUGAUUUAUGUUAGUUCUGGUUGAAAGCCGCAUCAAAAUUGAUUUUUAUUAUAUCUCCUCUGGGCUGUCGUCAUACCUUAUUGUUAUUCUCGUUGUUGAACUUCAGCACUUCACUCAUAAGUUUAAUUUCUAUAUAAUAUGCGUUGAUAAAACCCAAGACUUCAUGCACUAGAGCCCUACUUCCAUCAUGAUACAUUUUGUUUCUAUUAUGCCAAAUAGCCUAUAAAAGGAUAGUUCUUUUUGUGCAUUCCUCUUCAGUAAAAUGUUCAUACUCAAUCGCUAACCAUGUUUUCCAAUUUGUUUCCCUGUUGCAUGGUGAGUUAAUACUUCCCAGUUCCCGAAGUACUUGUCGAGUGAAAUAACAGUCCCGAAAGAUAUGACUCAUCGUCUCCUUUUCUUCUUGGCAUACUAGACACAGCGUAUUAAUCACCAAUUUGUGGAUUUUUAGAUUAUACCGAACUGGCACCUACUCAUUAGCCACUUUCCACAGAUGUGUACAGAUCUUGCUUGGUAUUUUAGGAUCCUAUAAUUUUUUGUAAAACUUAGUUAGUGGAUUAUGUUGUAUAUUGGGUUCUUUUGCUGUAUUCCUCCAUUUGUACCCAUUUUUUGCUAUGUAUACCCCUGUGUUAUCCCCCCUCCAAACUAAGGUAUCUUAUGCCUCGCUGUUCGCCAAUAAGAUUGAGAUAAUUCUCUGCGUAUGUUUCUCACCAAAUAAAGAUCGGAUUUUCUCAUGUUUCUAGCUCUCGAUAACCAUGCGUCAUUCCAAAUAUUGAUAUUCUUGUCGUUCCCAAUUCUCCAGCCAAGCCCCUCUUCUAGUAGGCGUCUGGCUCCCCAGAUGCUUCGCCAGGUAUACGAAGGGUAAGAAACAAUUCUUGCACUCAUAAACUUUCCUUUUGGGAAGUACUUCGCUUUCAUUACUCGUACAAACAAACAAUUAGGUUGCGUAAUAAUCUUUCAUCCCUAUUUCACCAACAGGGCCAUAUUAAACAUUGAGAAAAUUUUAAAACGCAACCCUCCCUUCUUUUUGGGGAUGCACAUAUCACUCUACUUACACGAAUGAAUACCUCUAUUAUUUUCUGGAUUACGCCACCAGAAUUUACACAUAAUAUUCUCUAAGUCAUGGAAAAAAGAAACUGGUAAUUGAAAGCAUUGCAUCGCAUAGAUUGGAAUAGCCUGUAAAACGAAUUUAAUAAAUAUCACUUUUCCCCUAGUCGAUAAAACU